UUUGGGUAAUAGAGAAUUGAUUCUGAGAAAAUUGGUGACAAAUAUGUAGUUAAGCCAUCCAUAAGCACAAAAAUGAACCAAUCAUCUUCCUUUUAUUCUGUAGACAAUACUUCAAGAUGCACCGGAACAGAUUUGGGACGGAAGACUGGGUCGAUAUCAAGUGGCAGCCUGGAACAAUAUCCCAUACCUUCCAGAAGGAUGGCACCAGUUGUGGGAUCUUUGUGAUGCAGAUGGCCAAGAUGACGGUGAUGGGAUUUCCAAACAUGCCACAGAUCUUUCACAUUGACCCACAGAAAAAAUCUCUUCAAAAACUUAGAAGAAAUUCUGAAAGGAUCAGGUACUGUUUAAAAUAUUUGAUUAAGGGGAUGAAUACUGCCUUGAAACUCAACAGUAAUGCUCUUUUUAAAUCUUUCAGUUUCAAGCGAAGAGUUCUGCUCCUUCUGUGGUAACAAGGACCUGCCUAUUGAUGCUGUUUGGGCAAUACAUGAUCUGAAUGGUGGAUUAUACAUAGGCUGGAUUCAAUUUCAGUGAUAAAAUAUAUGUAAUCAGGUAGUGUGUACUUUAAUGCAAUGGAAAUUAAAAUUUUCUUAAUGUUAUUAAUAUUUGAAAACUUUAUAUUUAUCCCCAUGUAGAUUCAGUGUGGAACCUGUACACGGUGGUUUCACACGCAUUGCCUGGGAAUGACAGCAGCACAAAUACCAAGCAAGGAUACCCCGUGGUUUUGUGUGCUGUGCAACUAAGGACACUGUUGUGUGUUGGGUAACUCGUACCAGGGAAAGGGAAAUUACUUUUCUACAACAAGCUUGUAGGAGGGGCUUCUACACCAGACAUUAAUCCUUCUAAGAAGUAGUAGUUCAGAAAAUAUUAGAUGUGUGAAUCCUGUAUGUUAUCCUGUAUGUAUUUUAUUCCUUAUAAUUGAGCUCAAGUUUAUUUUUUGUCCAAAAUGAGAGCUGUAGUGUGACCAUGGGAAGGUCAUCUAUGUGUGGUGUGAUUUUUGUAAAUCUGCAAUGUACAGUAGCGAAGUUAUUAAAAUGAUUUAAAAUAAAAAUUCACCAAAAUUGUCUAAAAGCAUUUGUUUUUCAAAAUGAGAGGUGUAGUGUGACCAUGGGAAGGUCAUCUUUGUUUGAGGUGAUUUUGGUGAUUCUGCAUAGUACAGUAGCGAAGUAAUUAAAAUGAUUUCAAAUAAAAAUUUACCAAAAUUAUCCAAAAGCAUUUGUUGUCCAAAAUAAGAGGUGUAGUAUGACCAUGGGAAGGUUAUCUUUGUUCG
rnacentral:lncRNA from 1 species